ensembl:lncRNA
UAUGAAUAUUAAAAUACGCCGAAUCAUGUUUUCGGUGUCAUGCCUACAAAAUCCCGUGAACAUCCGCUUUUGUAUUCAGCGAGUGACGCGCUGACACUUCGUUGCGCCAGCUGGCACAGAGUGGAGCGGGUGACCGGUCCAAGCUGGCGGCCCCGCGGCUCGUCAGCACCACUAGGCAGCAGCGGUCGAUGUCUAUUCUUUAUGUCUAUGGCUGUAGCUGCUGUAAGCUUAAUUUAUGCUUCCACGUUACGGCGGCGGCGGGUGUGGCUGUGUGUUUCUGCGGGUGCCGAAUCCUUGGUUGUUCUUUAAUGUACUGUGGUGCUCUGGUGAUACCAUCAUGUUGAUCAAAACAUUCCUGUCAUCCAGCACCAACCAAGAUCUUUGCCACUGUGAUAAGAUGUGAGCUUUACAUGUUUUAGGUUUACUUUUGAUG